UACGUAGGGUGCGAGCGUUAAUCGGAAUUACUGGGCGUAAAGCGUGCGCAGGCGGUUCGUUGUGUCGGUGGUGAAAGCCCCGGGCUUAACCUGGGAAUGGCCAUGGAAACUGGCGAACUGGAGUGUGGCAGAGGGGGGUGGAAUUCCGCGUGUAGCAGUGAAAUGCGUAGAGAUGCGGAGGAACACCGAUGGCGAAGGCAGCCCCCUGGGCUAGCACUGACGCUGAGAAGCGAAAGCAUGGGGAGCGAACAGG
rnacentral:rRNA from 1 species